GUUCUCACCUUGGCAGUACAUAUUCUAAAAUUGAAUGAAACAUAGUAGAUUAAUACGGCCCCUGCGCAAGGAUGACAUACAAACUAGCGAAGUAUUCCAUAUUUUU